UUCGAUGAAACUAACACCAAAAAUAGAGUAAAGUAGAGUGCGUAACUCAUUUUGAGGGGUAAAGUCUCUACUUACACCUCAAGUGCGAGUAAGCGUACUCUAAUACUUGUUUCUGUGUAGGAGGGUUAAUAAAAAAAACCUCACUAAAUAAAAAAUGGACGAAUAUAAAGCAUGUAAGUAUAUUCAUACGUUCGAAAAUAGCAUUUUUGUAUUCCAUUUUUCAUAACUGUAAAUAGAUAUCGAUCAAUUACCGCAAAAAAUCACCGAAAUGCUCGAAACGCUUGAUGACGAGCCAACCGAAGAAGAAACUCUUGCUAUCAACGAAGCACAUGCGGAACUAGAAAGUAAUAUUCAACAAGUCAAGCAAGAGAUCUCAUCUAUCGAUAGAUGAAUAUUUGGAACAUAUGCGAAAAUUGAGCGAACGUUUGAAGAAUGACCCUAAUGCAGAUGCUGAGGCUUUGGUGGCAGAAAUCUUGCAAUUAUAUCACAUUGAAAGCCCAUGUGGUGCAGCCAGCAUGAGCAGUAAUUUUGGUGCAUCAAAUGAGACGAUCAACAGGAAUGGAACCAAUGAAACCAACAAGUCAGAUAAAUCCAAUUUAUCCAAUGAAAAUAACGAGUUCAAAAACUCCAAAGAUAUCGAAGCAACUGAAACCAUUGAUAAAAUUAGGGAGCAUACAAGAAAAAGAGUUGCCAAUAAGUUUGCCAUAAUUUUGAUUUAUAACAGGAAUUACACAUUUUGCAGAGCAUGAAAAUAAUGACAGCUCGGCAACGCUUUAUUAGAGAUUAGUACCGCUGGCAACCGCAGAACUAUAUAGAAUUAUAUGAAGUAAUUUGGUGGCGUUAGUAAGCAAUGUUGUCUCAUUGCCAUGCUUGGACAUUUUGUAAGACAUGACAAAGAUUUUUUAAACUAUUUGCAUUGAAACAAAUAUCAUUUUAUAUAAUAAAAGUCAAAUAAACAACUAUCAUACUUUUUUAAUCGCAA